ensembl:snRNA LOC120097980 U1 spliceosomal RNA
AGGGGAAAUACCAAGGUCAAAUAGGUGGUUUUCCCAGGCCUGUGUAUUGCUCUAUGAAUGUAUUGGCUCCUGUGAUUUUCCCAAACGCGGGAAAGUCAACU